UGGAGGUACUAGAUUAUAAUGAGCUGUAGCCUUGAACAUUUCACAUUUACGAAUUCAGUGUAAAAAUAAGGUCCAGACAAGUUCUGUAUGUUGCAUCAAAUCUUUGAGUCCUCCUCUGUUAUGACUUGUUGCCUCACUUGCGUGGAAUGGAGAGGGACCUAGGCUACUUUCUUUAUAUCAAGGAGCUGAAUACUUCAUUCUUUUUAAAUAGGAACUUUAACACAUAUGGAGAUAACCUUAGCACUAAGCUUUAUUCUGUAAUCUGAGAUCCCAAAGUUGUUCUCUGGUUCCUAAAAGGUGGUGUUAUAUAAACCUUUCAGUUUUCUUAGCCUAAGCCUUCCUGCUCUUUUUCUUCUUAGAAAUAGCAGGAGCUGUGUAAGGAUUGAGCAGCAAAGCACAGCAGAUGACAAGUAACUGACCUUCGUUGUCUGUUUCAGCAAACUCUGAGCUAUGAAUAGUGCUGAUGAGGAGAAACAUACUGCUUUCUGCUACAUCUUCUUCAGAACUGGUAAUCUCCUACAGACAGCCUGGAUGGGCAGCCAUUGAAGUAAUUUCCUAAUUAGCUGCCCCUGAAGCUGCAAGAUCUUAAUUGCAGGAGUACAUUCAGAGCCAGCCAAUUUCUGAAACUUUUGAAUUCACUGAGGAGGUUAAUAUUUGUUUCACCAGUAGAAUUCACUCUGCUCCUAUGAGAUGUCUUAGAUCUGAAGAAAAUGGAAUAAGAAAGUGUAGAAAGCUCACACUCCAAUGUCAGCACUCAACCUCAGCAGCUGACAAAGCUUACCAGGCAUGCAUCUUGGCUGUGGGGAAACUUUCUCAAGAGAACAACUUGAAGAGAAUAUAUUUUCCUCCACACCUGUACAAACCAGUAUCUCAGCUAUCAGAAGUAAUGUAACCAUCCCGCUGCUCAAGAAAGGGGAUAUAGUGGGUACACAUCACAUGCCACCCUGUUGAUUUACCUGUGUGACCAUGAAGAGGAAAUGAGCAAAUGGUAUGGAAAAUCUACCUUGAACCUAGAGGCAUGAGUAUGUGCGUUGCAAGGAAAAAGGGGGUUCUUCUGGGAAAUUUGCUGCUCCAGUUUCCAGUGGGAAAACUGUCUACUCUGUCCCCCAGAGAGAGUUAAAGGGAUGAUCUUAUUCUGAUUUUAACAAAGGGAAUUCUGAUAUGUGUUUACAAGAAGUGAGUAUCAAAUACUAUGAUCUGGACUAGAGGGGUCCUGUCUCCAGCCAGAUGGAGGAAAGGGAGAACCAUACUUAAUGGGUCUGGCACAUCCUCUGCCAGAGGAGUAUAAGGCUCUAGUGGACACCAGUUCACAGUGUACCUUAAUGACAUCAAGAUAUAAAGGGGCAGAACUCAUUUGUAUUUCUGGAGUGACAGGAGAAUCCUAAAAGCAAACUGUACUGGAGGCUUAAGUGAGCCUAACUGUAAAUGAGUAGCAAAACCACCCCAUUGUGACUGGCCCAGAGUCUCCAUUUGUCCUUGGCAUAGAUUAUCUCCGAAUAGGAUAUUUCAAGGACAUAAAAGGGUACCAGUGGGCCUUCGGUAUUGCUGCCUUGGAGAUGGAGGAAAAGAAUCAGCUGUCCACCUUACCUAGUCUCUUGAAAAACCCUUCCUUUGUGGGGUUGCUGAGGGUCAAAGAAUGGCAGGUGCUGAUUGUUACCACAGCGGUGCACUGGCAGACAUAUUGCACCAACCAAGAAUCCCCAGCCCCAUCCAUAGAAUCAUAGAAUCAUUUAGGUUGGAAAAGACCUGUAAAAUCAUCUAGUCCAACUAUGAACCUAGCACUGCCAAGUCUACCACUAAACUAUGUCACUAAGCAGAACAUUUACACAUCUUUUGAAUACCUUCAACUACUUCCCUGGACAGCCUGUUCCAAUGCCUCACAACCCUUUCAG
rnacentral:lncRNA from 1 species